AGGCUUGAAUAGAAGAAAAAAGGCAGAGAAAUGGAGAAUUCACUCUCUCUCCCUGACUGGAUGGGCUAGAACAUCCAUAUUCUCCUGCCUUUGAGCUGAAACUUAUACCUUCUUCUCCCCAGUUCUCAGACAUUAUACCAUCAGCCUCCUGGUUCUCAGGCCUUUGGACUCAGAUUAGAACUAACUCACUGGCUUUCCUCAGUCACCAGCUUGCAGAGGGCAGAUCAUGGGACUUCUCAGUCUCCAAAAUCAAAGAUAUUUUGUGAUUAGGGUUGACUUCAGAGUCAGAACUAUUGCCACAAAGCAAAAUGGAACUAUUCAUGCCAAUUCUUCAGGAUUGAAGGGAUCAGAAAUCUGUGCCAAGGACUCUUAGCAUAGAUCCAGUUGACAUGGAGAUCCACUCUACUGAAAUGGCAGUGGUAUCAUCAGAGGCACAGUAACAUCCAGACGCAAUCCUUACUGCCUGUGGUUCCUAGAUACCUAGAUGACAGUUUGAAGACUUCACUACGGGGCCAGUGUCAUUCAAAGAUGUGGCUGUGGAUUUCACCCAGGAGGAGUGGCGGCAACUGGACCCUGAUGAGAAGAUAACAUACGGG